rnacentral:lncRNA from 1 species
CUCUGUGACACUGAAGGUCACCAGUUCCCUUGCUGGCUUCGACUGAAUGAUUCCCCUGUGAAGUCCCUUGUUUACUGUAUUUGUAAUUAGCCACCAAGAACUUGAGUAACCGGUUUCCGAGGAGAACAUAUAUCCUGAAUCAGUUCCUGGACAUUUGUUUGAGGUCUUGUAAGGGAAACUGAAGGGAAUUGUGUAUUGAACAGGAUGGCUUAGACCUGCUCAACUUCUGAGAAUUGAGGCAAAGUGGGCAAUCCAGAUGUAUCACUUGACUUUCUGACUACUGGAAGAAUUUCCCUUCAUUAUUGCACACCAGGGGUAUCCCACAGAUGAUGAAGAGCCAAGGAGCCUAUCAGGAAGGCAAUGAAGAGACUGGCAAAGGCAAGAAGGUACUAUCACUGCUAGAGAGAUCCAGGGGGAAGGCUGUGUGACCAGAGUCAAGGAACAGGAACAUCUGGAGAAAGCCUGCCCAAACAAGAGCUGAAGCCGUGUGGAGGAGACGCAGCAGCUACCACUGCAAAUGCUACUCGAGGCAGAGAGACGGAGGAGGUGGAAUGUGGCCUGUUUCCUCCUUGGGCCCUUCGGUUUUCCACAGUGUCUUUCACUGGCCUUCUUGAAAUCCAGGAAACAAGAGAGCUGGAAAAUAUUGGUCUCUGAGUUAUAGCACAGGGCAGAGAAGGGCAGAAAAUGCACCUGAAAGAAAACAGGCAAGUGACCUAUAUACCUUCUUUUAGGCCUUCUCCCUCUUGUGUACCGCAUAGCAUAUUAAGUGGAAAAUUAUUAUAACACUCAUUGUAUCACGUGGCUGUGUUUUGCUUACAUAUCCAUCUCAACUUUUAUCUCUUGCUUUCCCCAGCACCAGCACUGGCACAUUGCAAUUUUUGAACAAAAGAUUUUUGAACUAAUGAAUAAAUAGGUGAUUAGAUUUAAUUCAAUUUCAAUGAAUGUUUAUUAGGUCAUUAUUAGGAUAUUGGGUCAGAAUGUUCUAGUUGAUUCUACAUACAUCACCUCCUUCAUAGAGUAUCCUGAAAGGCCCACAAUUCACUCGCACAUUCUUUCUCCUAACUGUCAAAUUUUACCAAUUAAAAAGUAUUAUCAGGCUGGAUAUGGUGGCUCAUGCCUGUAAUCACAGCACUUUGAGAGGUUGAGGCAAGAGGAUCGCUUGAGCCCAGGAGUUCAAGACCAGCCUGGGCAACAUAGAGAGAUGGCAAUCUCUACAAAAACUAAAAAAAAAAAAAAAAAAAAAAAGCAGGAUGUGGUAGUGCAUGCCUGUGGUUCCCAGCUACUAGGCAGGCUGAGGUGGGAGGAUCUCUUGAGCCUGUGAGGUUUAGGCUGUAGUGAGCCAAGAUUGUGCCACUGCACUCCAGCCUGGGCAAAAAAGUGAGACACUGUCUCCAAAAAAAAGAAAAAGAAAAAAAAAAUCACUAUUUAGUGAUGUGUGUGAUGGCUCCCUUGACACAGAUAGUUCAUUUCCC